UGUUUGGGUCAGCGGUCUUAUAAAGUUCUGGACCGACUCAGAUGUAUCGGUAGGUGCCCUGAGCUGGUGGGUCCACAGGGUGUGACCACCGUCUGUAGGGUUAUUCCUCCAGGCGCUCAGUGAGAAAUUAGCUCACAUGUUCUGAUUUUAUAGUGCUAUGGUUCUUCUCUACUGGCUUCUGGGAACCUUUCCUCCUGUCUCGGUUUCCUGGAUUAUUUUCCUUGAGGUAAUGCCAUUUCCAUAAAUGCAUUUUACUUUUGGAUCCCUUUUCUUUGGGCUUUACAUUCAGUUAAAUUUGUAAUCGUUGUAGUCUCAAAAACGUUUUUAUUAUUUCUUAUAUUUAGCUUUGUAGUCUGUGCUGGGGGAUCUAGGGUUACAAAAGUAUUUACUUGAAAAGGUGGGACCUCAAAAAGUCAAAUUUUCUUUCCUUAGAAUCAUAUUUCUUGAGAAGUAAAAAAUCCUCCUAUAAUUAAAUGAUUAUUCCUUAUUUCAUCACCUUUCUAAGACUGAAUUACAUGUAUUUUAGGCUUUCCUAAAGAAGCCACCUCUAUUUCAUAAGCUUCUCUGUAUCGGUUUUCAAAUAGAACAUGUUUGUGGGUAGAGGGUGAAUGUUUUAUAGGGAAAGGACUGUCUCUCUACCUACUUUGCUGUUGUCUCCCUUUCUAGCUUCCCCACAGCUUUUAAGAGUGAAGGAUUUGCCAUUUUGUUUGGUCAACUGUAAAAUCCUGGUUGAUGUUUACGGAUGGGCAGGUGCUAUAAAAAGCCCAUGUUUGUGCAGUGGUAGUCCUCUCUUGCACUUCCUGCUUUCACUCUGGGAUGGACUUGCCGGCAGCACCUGGAGAAAGAAGGCCUAGCCUUUCCUUCUCUGCCUCAACAAAGCAGCAUUGCUGUAGUUUUGUGCUGUAUGGUGGCAGGGACUAGUGAUCGUCCAGGAUUUGAGCUGAACCUGAGGUGCUGGUGGGAGGUGGGGAGGGUUCUUAAGAGUGAACCAUGUAUUCUAACCCAGUCUGAACAAGCUCUGAAAGGUAAUACUAAAGUGUCUGUCUGUUUCUUAUUUGCUACCAGUCUUUCUCUGUGUGUGUGUGUGUGUGUGUGUGUGCGCGCGCGCCAUUAAAUGCAAUCACAAUUUCUCCUCUGUCUCUUAUAACUCUUCUUUGCAAAUGUCUUAUUUUUCAGUGGUAAACAUGUAGAGAGCUAUGGACCAAAGAAAGGCAUCGUCCAUACCUUAACUCUCAGGGGAGACGUUGCUAAGUCAGUUUCAAAGGCCACAAUAGAACAGUGAAACCAGUUCACUAGAGGAUGGAAAGUGACCUCAACACUCAUGACUUCCUCUGUGUUUCUAAGACUUGAACCUCAGCCUCUCUCUGCAACUCCCUAGGAAGCUAAAGAGACUAAGCGAUGACAAAGCAACCCAGCUAAGAAGGAGACUGAGGAGAGGACACGAUGAGAUGUUAAUUGGCUGAUCAGGUUACCCUGUGUGCUCCAGUAACAGAUGUCCGAGCCACUUCAGAGCUACCUCUUCUUAAUGUGUUUAGUUAUCUCUGAGUGGGGUUGAUUCACAUCAUAUGAAACCCAUGGGAUUUGCUUCAGGUGGAAUGACUGAAUUAAAGACUUAUUCCAUGUAUUAGUUUUACCCUGAAGUAUUUAACCCAUACCAGUGUGUGUCAAAAGCAAAGCAAACCGAUUUUGCAACACCAUGUUGUUUCUACCUCGAACAAUUAACCAUUGAUGUACUCACAUUUAUGAAAGUGCUGGCUGGGCUGAACAUCAUCCACAAAAUGUCUUACAGGCAGACCAACAACAACAAUUUCUAAUUAGUGACGUUUAGUGUUAAAGAGCAUGCAACAUUUCAGUUCCUUUGCAGGGGACUCUGAAAUGUCCCAGGAUAUGUCUCAGAAUAAUUAAACUUGCUUGCUUUUUCUGCCUCUUCAGGACUGCCAUUGUGGGGGAGGAGAGGCAGAUGGCAGGAAGUUGUCUCCCAGACCAGUCAGCAUGUCCUCAGUUUUCGUCCCCUCCAGCUGUUCCCAGCUUGUUCCCAGCUUCCUCCCCACGUGAAUCCGCAGCAGUCUUAGGAUCGGGGGUGGGGGCCACAGACCACCAGGAGCGGACCCUUUAUGUGGAGAGAGACUCUCCAGACCUCAGACAGCAGUGCCCAUGGUGUCCAGACGGAGCUCUGGUCUGUGCUGCUAUGAGG